rnacentral:rRNA from 1 species
AAUUUUGGACAAUGGGCGCAAGCCUGAUCCAGCCAUGCCGCGUGCGGGAAGAAGGCCUUCGGGUUGUAAACCGCUUUUGUCAGGGAAGAAAAGGUUCUGGUUAAUACCUGGGACUCAUGACGGUACCUGAAGAAUAAGCACCGGCUAACUACGUGCCAGCAGCCGCGGUAAUACGUAGGGUGCAAGCGUUAAUCGGAAUUACUGGGCGUAAAGCGUGCGCAGGCGGUUAUGCAAGACAGAGGUGAAAUCCCCGGGCUCAACCUGGGAACUGCCUUUGUGACUGCAUGGCUAGAGUACGGUAGAGGGGGAUGGAAUUCCGCGUGUAGCAGUGAAAUGCGUAGAUAUGCGGAGGAACACCGAUGGCGAAGGCAAUCCCCUGGACCUGUACUGACGCUCAUGCACGAAAGCGUGGGGAGCAA